AUUGAACGCUGGCGGCAGGCUUAACACAUGCAAGUCGAACGAUGACUAACUAGCUUGCUAGUUAUGAUUAGUGGCGGACGGGUGAGUAACAUUUAGGAAUCUGCCUAGUAGUGGGGGAUAGCUCGGGGAAACUCGAAUUAAUACCGCAUACGACCUACGGGUGAAAGGGGGCGCAAGCUCUUGCUAUUAGAUGAGCCUAAAUCAGAUUAGCUAGUUGGUGGGGUAAAGGCCUACCAAGGCGACGAUCUGUAACUGGUCUGAGAGGAUGAUCAGUCACACCGGAACUGAGACACGGUCCGGACUCCUACGGGAGGCAGCAGUGGGGAAUAUUGGACAAUGGGGGCAACCCUGAUCCAGCCAUGCCGCGUGUGUGAAGAAGGCCUUGUGGUUGUAAAGCACUUUAAGCAGGGAGGAGAGGCUAAUGGUUAAUACCCAUUAGAUUAGACGUUACCUGCAGAAUAAGCACCGGCUAACUCUGUG
rnacentral:rRNA from 1 species